rnacentral:rRNA from 1 species
CCUACGGGGCGCUGCAGUGAGGAAUAUUGGUCAAUGGGCUUACGCCUGAACCAGCCAAGUCGCGUGAGGGAAGACUGCCCUAUGGGUUGUAAACCUCUUUUGUCAGGGAGCAACGCCGGCUACGUGUAGCCGGACUGAGAGUACCUGAAGAAAAAGCAUCGACUAACUCCGUGCCAGCAGCCGCGGUAAUACGGAGGAUGCGAGCGUUAUCCGGCUUUAUUGGGUUUAAAGGGUGCGGAGGCGGAAUGCCAAGUCAGCGGUAAAAUCGCGGGGCUCAACCUCGCUCCGCCGUUGAAACUGGCGGUCUUGAGUGGGCGAGAGGUAUGCGGAAUGCGUGGUGUAGCGGUGAAAUACAUAGAUAUCACGCAGAACUCCGAUUGCGAAGGCAGCAUACCGGCGCCAAACUGACGCUGAAGCACGAAAGCGUGGGUAUCGAACAGGAUUAGAUACCCCAGUAGUC